rnacentral:lncRNA from 1 species
CCCUAAAUAUGAUUGACCCAAUAGUUUUUUAUUUAUAUUGUCAUGUCUUAAAUGUGACAACCCAUCAUGUAAUACAUAGGAUUAACAAGGGUAUUUACAAAUGCAAGUAUCAACAAGUAUACAUCUUCCUGAAGCAGAGUGACCCCUUUCUUAGUUGCACUUUUUGGCAUAGGCAUCUUCAUUGCAAUCUUUAGUAGGAUCUAAAAAUUUUACCUCACAUGCAUCAACAAUCGUCAGCUCAUGACCUACAAUUAACGAAAUACGCAAACGAAAUCAAUAGACAAAAUAAUAUAAUUUGGUGAUUUUAUGUAAAAAAUUUGUCAUCUAUAUAAUCCUUGUGUUUUAGAAUUUGAGUUGCAUUUUAACAUUUGUAAGUUAAUUCAUAAUUUUUGAAAUAUAAUACUAAUACAUAUUUAUUUACUUUAUAUUAAAAAUAUAUAUAAUUACUGUAUACUAAUUAAAAGAUAGUACUAAUUAAAAUAUUUAGUCUUUCAAAAGUUAAAUCAAUUUUGAAUUUUAAGAAUUUAAAAAUUGACUUAAAAAUUAAAACGUAUCUCUAUUUUGAAACAAAGUAAGUAUAUAUUUAACAAAUCAAUUAUAUGUAACUGCCGUAAAAAAAGAUCACUACAAUUGAACUCAUGAUUUUUUUAUUUUUUUAUUUUACAAAGACAUGUAUUAUUAGGGUCAUUAUUACUUGAGCUAAUAUGACAGAGUUAGUGGAGUUAAAUUUCCAUCAUAGCAUCCUAACACCAGAAAAACGAGUUUUAUAUGAUAAUUUUGAGAAAUAAAAUAAAAAAUAAUUAUAUAUAACAAAAUAAAGUAACUAAAUUUAGUACAUCUAUACAGUGAGUAAAUAAAAUUUAAAAUUUAGUACCUCUAUACAGUGAGUAAAUCAUUGUCACUAAUUUAUAAUUAAUUAGUGAUGUGAAAUUACAAUUUACUAUCUACUAUCUAUAUACAACUAGCUAGUUAAUAUAUAAUUCGUGCAAUGCACGAGCUAGUUUAAAUAAUGAGUUAACAUAAGAAAUUAAUCCAAAACAACUGACCUAUUAUUAUAUUUGUGAAAUAUUCUAGUCACAUAGAUGAUAAGUAGUACCCAGUAGAGAAUGAGAUCUUAUUUCAAACUUUCAUUAGUUGAACAAUUGUUUGUAAUAAACAAGCAAACAAACACACAUCACCCUAGACAACGAUUAAGCAUUUUAUCAAACAUGUCUUGUACAUUACCUUGUACUUAGUGUAUUAAAUUUAGAAAAAAUAGGAAUGAAAUUGAGGGAAAAGCAUGUUAUAUUAAACUUUGGAUUCAGAAAAUUGCAUCUAUCUAUAUGCGAAUACUUCUAUAUGAACUGUGAAGCAUUAACUUCAUAAAUCAUAAGCAUCAAAAGUAGAUAAUAUUUUUUCUUGUAGUUAUUGACUUGAUAAACAUCAAGAGUCGAUACUUCUAUAUGUACUUACAACUAAAUAAAUGUAAAAGAAAUGUACCUGGGUCUCGAGUUUGAAUAAUUUCGUCAGUAGAGAACUUAUUAGAGAGUUGAAUCAUGAAGCACUUCGUUAUAGUGAAAAUUGUCACUGUGAGUGUCAACUCACUUUGUUAACAAAGUAAUAGUGAAGAAAGAAGAACAUGAAACCAAAGCAGAUGAGUUUGGCCAUCAAUGACAUGAUAAAGGAAGAGGAUGACCUUUUCCCUUGCUAGCUCCACUUGUGGAAUGGCCUCUUGCAGCCUAAAAUGAUAGAAGACCUUUACAUUUAAAUUAAUAUGAAAAUUUUCUAAACUUAUCAAGGGAAUAUAAAAAUACACAUUUAAAUUAAAUUGAAAGUCUAAUCCUUGUAAAAGGCAAUAUAAAAUGAAAAUGAGUUUGUCUCAGGGAUAACAAUUAUCUAUUUAAACAUAAACUUGUCUCGAAACAUUUUAUAUCUUUACAACACAAUCCUAAAAACUAGCCACAAAAUCAUUAACUCUUAUCUAGAUUAAGAAAAAUAUAUUUCUUAUGUCAGAAUAACAAGACAGUCAAUUCAGAGACACCAAAAUAAUUAUACU